UACGUAGGGUGCGAGCGUUAAUCGGAAUUACUGGGCGUAAAGCGUGCGCAGGCGGCUUUGCAAGACAGAUGUGGAAUCCCCGGGCUCAACCUGGGAACUGCAUUUGUGACUGCAAGGCUAGAGUACGGCAGAGGGGGAUGGAAUUCCGCGUGUAGCAGUGAAAUGCGUAGAUAUGCGGAGGAACACCAAUGGCGAAGGCAAUCCCCUGGGCCUGUACUGACGCUCAUGCACGAAAGCGUGGGGAGCAAACAGG
rnacentral:rRNA from 1 species